UACGGAGAGUGUAAGCAUUAAUCGGAAUUAUUGGGCGUAAAGGGCGCGUAGGCGGAAAGUUAAGUCAGAUGUGAAAUUCCGAAGCUCAACUUCGGAGCUGCAUUUGAAACUGCCAUUCUAGAGGGUUGACGGAGAAAACGGAAUUCCACGUGUAGCGGUGAAAUGCGUAGAUAUGUGGAAGAACACCUGUGGCGAAAGCGGUUUUCUAGUUGAUACCUGACGCUGAGGCGCGAGAGCUAGGGGAGCAAACAGG
rnacentral:rRNA from 1 species